UCGAGAAUUUUUCACAAUGGGCGAAAGCCUGAUGGAGCGACGCCGCGUGGGGGAUGAAUGGCUUCGGCCCGUAAACCCCUGUCAUUCGCGAGCAAACGUUAUUAUUUAAAAGAUGAUAGCCUGAUAGUAGCGAAAGAGGAAGGGACGGCUAACCCUGUGCCAGCAGCCGCGGUAAUACAGAGGUCCCAAGCGUUGUUCGGAUUUACUGGCGUAAAGGGUGCGUAGGCGGUGGGGUAAGUCGGAUGUGAAAUCUCCGAGCUCAACUCGGAAAGUGCAUUGGAAACUACCCUGCUCGAGGGUUGGAGGGGGGACUGGAAUACUUGGUGUAGCAGUGAAAUGCGUAGAUAUCAAGUGGAACACCAGUGGCGAAGGCGAGUCCCUGGACAACUCCUGACACUGAGGCACGAAAGCUAGGGGAGCAAACAG
rnacentral:rRNA from 1 species